AUGGUGUUGCUAACUCGCAGAUGUAACAACGGUAUCAACCUUAAAAUCUAGUAUGACGUUUAUUAUACAGGCAGUUGCUUGCGUUGUAUCAAAAUACUGUGCUCUUAGUGAUUGGCUUAGACGAAUAUUAAAUUAAAUUUCAAUCGAAUUAGAAAAAGACCGAUUAUUCUUGUACUUUACAAGUUGUACCAUCAAGCUAUAAGAAACACAAUGACGGAUCCAACAGGGUUACGAAUGAACGUGGCCGCUCUCAAACGAGUAGAUCCCUAUGUAAAAGAUAUUCUGGAAACUGCGACACACGUAGCACUUUAUACUUUUAACGCAGUUAAUCAUGAGUGGGAAAAAACCAAUAUUGAAGGUGCCCUGUUCGUAUAUUCGCGAAGUGGCGAGCCCUAUAACAGUGUUCUUAUCAUGAAUAGAUUAAAUACAAAUAAUCUAGUAGAACCAGUUACCCAAGGUUUGGAUUUACAACUUCAAGAACCCUUUUUAUUAUAUAGAAAUUCCAGAUGCAACAUUUAUGGCAUUUGGUUUUAUGAUAAAGAAGAAUGUGUACGAAUUGGUGCAAUGUUGAAUAAGCUUAUUAAAGAAUCAGAAGAAAACCGCAAGACUUACAAUAAACCUGCUGUUAAUGUGAAAAAGGAUUCUGGUCCUAAUAUGAACAGUGUUGAUAUAUUUAGUAUGCUUAGUAAAGCUCAAGAGGACUUUAAUAUCAAUAGAAGUAAUAGUAGUGGAGGUGGUAUCAGAGAAAGAUUUAGUACUAAAUCUCCAGUAGGUACUCCUACAACAGAUGAUGUAUCUGGACCACUAGCUGCACCGUUAGGUCCAGAUGUUACUUCACAGAGCGUAAUGGAUUUUUUUGCAAAAGCAAAAGUUAAUACUGGACAUUUUAAGACUACAGAUCAGCCUACUCCUGGGGGUACAGUUACAAAUGAAAGUAAACCUUUGCUUGCUCGAUUAAUGUCACACCCAGCAGCUCACACACUUGAACAUAUUGAAAAACAACAUAGAUCUAUAACCCCUCAGCCAGCUACUCAACAGCAAUCUCAAACAACUCCAACUGCUAUAUUGACUGCUAACAGUGCUAGUAAUACUACGUCUUCAAACAGAACGAAAAAACAAAGCAGAUGUGUGUCUCAGCAAGAUUCAAUAUUACCUACGCCUCCAUCUUUAACUCUAGAAGCUCUAACACCUAUGAAUCAAAGUACUACCGAUACAAAUGGAACAACAGGAUUUCUUAGGAUACAAUCACCUACAAAUGCAUCAACUUCUACUUCGACAAAUCAUCAAGCAUCGGAUAUUAUCAGCUCUAGCAGUUCAAAUCCACUUGCGUCUUUGUUUGCUCAUGCAUCUGCGACAACGGCAUCAGAAGAUAUUACAGCCCCCACUCUAUCAGGAAGAGGAUCAGCACCGACAUUAAUUCCUCCUGUUAUGUUCGCUGCUCCUAGUCCACCCGAACCUUUAACUAAACCAUUAGAACCAUUGACAAAAAAUCAGUUUCUUCGAGCUUUUAAUUAUUUGUUGAAGAGUGACCCGGAUUUUAUCAACAAACUUCACGAAGCUUACGUUAAAUCAUUUGGUGAAAUACUAUCCUAGAACUAUGACUUCGUUAAUUGGUAUGAAUGAAACCCGUCAUGCGGGUUGUGACGGCCGACUGAUUUCAUAGUAUCGAGCGAAACCUAGUAUCUCUAUGUUUCAUAGACAUAGAUGGAACACAAUGUCUUGCUCGAAUUUCAAUUGAACUUGACUGGUAGCCCAAUUUUUGGGAAGAUCAAAUCAUAGAUACAAAUAAAGAUACAUACCUUAAACAGUAUUUUUAUAAGCUAAUACACUUUUUUCCCAAGAAAAAGAGUAAAAUGGAUCAUGGAUGAGCAAGGUAUGAAAACAUGUGGAAAUUGUAAAGGGAAUGAAACUAGAAAUAUGAAAAUUGUACGAUUUUAAACUGUGAUGCCAAAACAUUUAUAUUAUACUAACGUUUUAUGGUUACUAUUUCGAAACGAAACAAGACAAAUUUUCUGAGCUAAUAGAUUACCUAUUUUAUGGAAUAAUGACAUACCCUUCCUAUAUAUCGGGUAUCGAUAUGGUAUGCAUAUGUAAUUGAUAAAAGAAGGAAAAUAAAUAGACACCGAUUACUGAAAAAUUAUUUCAAUAUAUUUUAAGUCGAUUUUCGUAUCGAUUUAUCCCUCAUGAGUGACACGUUGUAAAACAAAGUUGUGGUACAUAUUUAAUAAUGUAAUUAUUAUACAGUUAUGUCAUACUAUCACAAUAUAAUAAUAUUUAUAUGGAAUAUGAUUAUUAUGUGAGGAGUACACGAUGUACCAGAAUAACUAAUUUCCGGAAAGAAAAGUAUCUUAUACAAUUUAAAAAAAAACAAAUAUCAGACUCUUAGCGCUCUUCAUUUUUCGUCGACAUUAUUUUUCGAUGGAAAAACACAAUUCUCCGUACUGCUGGUUUAUGUGUAUGUCCCUCGAGAUUAUAUUAUAACAUUACUAUGAUUUUGUGGCUAGAUUCAUCGAACAACAUCGAAGUCUGACGAUAUCGUAAAAUUUGAUUACAAUUAAAAUUUGUACAUCGCCUAAACAAGCGAAUAUCAUUUAAUAUACAAUACAAAAUACAUAAUCUAUUUACAAUGCUACAAAUAAAGAUGAUAUCAUGCGUUUUA